ACGAGCCACCCAAACGUUAUUCGGAAUUAUUGGGCGUAAAGCGCGUGCAGGCGGCUUGUUAAGUUGGUUGUGAAAACCCAUGGCUCAACCAUGGAAGGGCGUCCAAAACUGGCAAGCUAGAGUCCUGACGAGGAUGGCGGAAUUCCCAGUGUAGAGGUGAAAUUCGUAGAUAUUGGGAGGAACACCGGUGGCGAAGGCGGCCAUCUGGGAAGGCACUGACGCUGAGACGCGAAAGCGUGGGGAGCAAACAGGA
rnacentral:rRNA from 1 species